GGGGGUGUACCUCAGUGGUAAAGUGCUUGCCUAGCAUGUUCGAGGCCCUGGGUCCAAUCCCCAGCACCCUCA
rnacentral:tRNA from 1 species